CCUACGCGAGGCAGCCGUGAGGAAUAUUGGUCAAUGGGCGAGAGCCUGAACCAGCCAAGUCGCGUGAAGGAUGACGGCCCUACGGGUUGUAAACUUCUUUUGUCAGGGCGCAAUUGAGUCCACGUGUGGUCUUAGCGAGCGUACCUGAAGAAAAAGCAUCGGUUCACUCCGUGCCAGCAGCCGCGGUAAUACGGAGGAUGCGAGCGUUCUCCGGAUUGAUUGGGUUUAAAGGGUGCGUAGGCGGAAUAUCAAGUCAGCGGUAAAAUUUCGGGGCUCAACCCCGUCGUGCCGUUGAAAAUGAUGUUCUUGAGUGGGCGAGAAGGAUGCGGAAUGCGUGGUGUAGCGGUGAAAUGCAUAGAUAUCACGCAGAACUCCGAUUGCGAAGGCAGCAUACCGGCGCCCAACUGACGCUGAAGCACGAAAGCGUGGGUAUCGAACAGGAUUAGAUACCCGGGUAGUC
rnacentral:rRNA from 1 species